CUAAUUUGUGUUGAGCAAUCUGAGAACUGACUUUUUAGUGUCUGUGCAUUCAGACUGUAAAAUACACCAGCAAGAAAGAGUGGAAACAGCAGAGUCGAAGACCCUACAUUAUAUUUAGAACAUGAAACAGAAGCCGAACAGUGACGACACUGCCAAUGGAUUCCUCUGCCAAAUAAAUCCAAAACCUGCUGCCGCAGACAAACCACAACAACCAGGCCCAAGAAAAUACACGUGACUGACGCGGUUGUUGCUGCUGUUGCUGUAUCAUCAUAGAGGUUAUCUAGAAAUAAGUAUCAUAAUUUUUAUAAGUAAACACUGUUUAUUUUACAUGAAUAAAAAGUCGUAUUUUAUUUUGUUGUUAGAAUAUAAUCGCAUGUUAAUCAAUUACCAACACUUUUGUACAAAUUUUAGUACGCAACUUCAUUUAAAUAUCAUGGUGAUGGCAAUAGCCAAUGUAAAAACUGUAGUGGCAGUUCUAGACUAAUACAUAUUGUGGUUGUUAGAGUUGUCAUAGUAAAGCAAAUAAUAAACUAUACCUGUUCUUAGACGGGAUAUGAAGGCCUAAGUGAAAAAUGCUUCUAAAGGUCUACUACCUAUUGUCUAUCAAAAUGUUUCCGUAUUAUCUGUGAUUUAUGUGAUGGUAAACCUUCAUUAACGAACCUCUUGUCCAGACAAUAGACACCCAGACGUUUCCCUGAAACGACCUUUAUGUCUUCAAAUUAAGCGACAUUCUAUCAGGUAAAAACUACUCACUUUUUGCAAGGCACCAUGAUCAAAGGAUCUGACAAUUUUAAGAAAAAUCCUCAGAAGUUUUUGUUUGUAAAAACACAUGUAGAAAAGCCUGCUUCUUUACUUAUUUAAUGACUUACCUUUUCUUACAUCAAUAAAGAUGUCUCUUUGUUCUUCUGAUCCUCUAUGCCGCCAUCUCCAGGUGUAUAAUCUGCUGUCGGAACUAGUGGCCUUCUUUAAGAACUGAACUGUGCGGUUAUUUAAACAUCGACAGUUUGAUGUAGCAGUCGAGGAGUCUGAUGGUUCACAGAUUGUCCUGAUUGUAAAUUUACAAAGGUCCACAGUUUUAUUUCUAACUUGAUAUGUUAGUUUGACCUGUAGAACAUUUUGGUCGCUUAUGUUACACUGAGAGGCCUCCAGUUGAUAAGCUGUUAAGUUGAUGAAGUUGUCCUCUUCAAUUUCGAUCCAAUCUAGACCGUCAAACACUAACUCCUUACCUGUGUGGACAACACCAAUGAUUUUUACCAUCAUAUUUUAAUUAUUUUCUGAUUUUUCCUUUGUUUUUUUCUGUUUAUAGCCUCAAUUAUGAACGAUUUAGUAAUUUAUUGAGCUUUCAAAUCUAUCGAAGACAUGAAAAUUUAUAUUAAAAAAGUGGCUUGCAAGAACAAAACUUGAAAUGAUUGAAAUCAAUAUUUAAGAAAGCAAUGCAAAGGUUAACUGUUUCAAUUGUCCACUAAUGCGUAAAAGGUAGGUUUCAAUGACUGGAUAAUACUUAAUCUUUGUGAAAUGCUAAAUACUUAUGUCCGAUGAUUGCUAGUCUACUUACAGUUACAACACUUACAAUUCUCUGCAUCAUUACUUGCGGUGUUAAUAAUCCUCAAUAUGCUGAGAAAAAGCCAGCACCUCACACACCACACACUGCUAUCCAUGUCGCCAAUAGUUAGUCAGGUCUGAGGCAAACAAGUCCAAUGAUUGAUGAACUCAGAUGCAUGAACCAGUUCUUCGUCCUCUUCACAUUUAGAACCUAAAAUGGAUUUGAUCCUUCGCAGUCUAAUCCGACUACUUUCUAGUUUCAAUUACAUCAUGUCUUCCAGUUGUAAGAAGUCAGCUGCAUCCUUGUUUGUUUCGACACAAUAGCUGUAACUAAAAAGGGAUUUCGCAUCCGCCUGCACACAACAAAGGUUCAUUUAGUCUUUUGAUCGUUAUCUGUCCUGAAAUUAAGCUUUUAAUUAUAAGUUCUCUGGGUAGCUAUCAUGGGCCAUGGACAUCAAACAAAUUGAUUACAACUAUGUCUAUGUUAUGAAAAGAACAUGUUUGAUAAACCCAAGUGCUUUUUGCGAUGAAUGAAUGUUUUCGUAACAAUGAGCAUUAACCUCAAAGAAAUCUCAAUAAUCAUGCAUUGUGCUUCGUUGCUUUGAAUAUGAAAUAUUUGCAGUUUGUUCUUUGUUUGGCUUUUAGUCGAGGGAGACUAUCAGUGAGGAUGGAGAAUUACGCCCUUGUUUCUUGUUCUCGAUCCCAUGCGGAAAAAGUGAAGAUAAUUUACAUACAAAUAACAGGAAAACAACCCUAGUGUCUUAAGUGUGAAAGGAAAUAAAAAUUAGGAUUUUCAUGCUUUUGUAAAAUUUACACAGGAUAUGUGCAACAUGUCAUAUGAAAUUCAUAUCAUGUUUUAUGUAGUCGCUUGGCAAAAUGGUAAUGGGAUUGAAAUAAAGAUAGGAUCCGAAGCCGAUUUUUUUCUAAGAGAGAUGGUGAUUAAUGACAAUCAGCUUAGUAUGCUUGGACAAAGACGCAACUCGAGAAACAAAUACAAUACCAUAGCUGCAGCUGCAAUACUAAGGAUGGAAGAGAGGAAGAGAAAGAGAAACGGUGACAGAAAGGGGAGCUUAACUCGUGAAAGGUUGUCCCUGGGAUAAACAAUAGUGGCAUUGUAGUCGAGUCUAUUCAACACCAGACAGGUAUCCUGGAGACAGUCUACAAAGACAGCAAGAACAUAGUAUGACCAGCUUACAGCAGAGACAACUCCGAACUGGCAGCCACUCCAGUCUACGAAUCUUUAUACCUUCCUUAUAUAACUCUCAUAUUGUCUGUGACAUACCUGAUCACUCUUGGAUUAACUUCAUGCCUUUUCCCCAACAGAUUCCACAUUAUUUUAUAACAUGGAAGCAGAAGCCGACUGGUGACGACACUGGCUGCUGAUAUAAGAGAAACAUUUCACUACGAUGUUGGUGUUUCUGACUGUUUAAAGUUAUUGGCUAUUGUAACCUAAUGGUUGUAGUGUUAGUGAACUGACCUAACCCCUUCCAGUGUCUACAAGAUAAUGAUUUCAAGCAGAGUUAAAUGAAACAUUAAACCUUCCUGUCCUUCUUUUUCUUGUUCUUUUUUUUUAUAGAUUGCUUCGGCAGUGAUUGAGACUUUUUGAAGAGACUCUUCUUUGAAAGCAAUCGCAUCAAAUAACAAAAAAGUAAUUUACAAAAAAGUUCCAACAAAUUUAAUCUACACAAAUGCUCUGUGAAAGAUAAUGUUGAUAACUGUUUUCUUAAAUUACUAACCGACAACACUUUCAAGAAAUGAGAUAUCUUAUUAAUGUCUUGAGAUUUAAUUAGCUGCAAAAGCUUGUUUAAUUAAGCAUACUAUAUUUUUAUAUUUCUAUUACUUUUUACCAGGGAUGGAAAACAUCUGACCCACUAAGACAACCGCAGAUUUUCGUAAAUUUACAAGUUUUUCUUAAUAGUAAAAUAAAUUCUGGUUAAUCAGAGGAAAGCAGGCUCGUUUUGUACACAUUGGAAAAGUGUUAAGAGACAGCAAGGAAGCUAUGGUUUGACUAAAUAAAGCAGGCAACAUUUUAAUCCGAUAACUUCAAAUGUCCCACAAAUGAUGCUACAAACAUUAAAAUGACCAUUGGAGGAAAAUAGGUUCCUUAUCCCUACGAUAGACUGACAUCAUCGACAAAACCGCUUACUUUUGACUAUACAUGUAGAAAUUAUUUCGCUUCUCUUGUGGUAAAACGGAGAUGAGAUAUGUAAAGGAGCUAGGAAAGGAUUACUGUGUGUAAUUGGUUCUCUUAAAAAUAUCUUAAAACAAGGAGAAAAAUAAAGACAAUGACCAUAUUAAAGUAACUCACUAUCGACUUGGCGACGAAAAUAUAGAGGACAGAAGUCUUCUUCGACCUCUUACACACAAAAAACAAGAUUUCCCGGAAACUGAAAGGUCGUCAGGUUUUAAUAAUUGGGUUUAAGCCAGUCUGUACAAUUGUCACCUUACAAUUUAUAUAUUGUCACAGUACGCCUUAGUUUUUUAGUCUUGACUUUGUCGACUACUGGCAGAGGUUGGUUUCUGUGCGAAUAUGAUUGCUGAUUACAUGAGUACCGGAGGAUGGUCUACUGGUUGCUGGGUUUUGCUUGGCCUGUUGAGGAUUACUGACUCUUCCAAUAUGAACUGUAUCUCUCUGGAAUUCGAUGGCUUAAGGUCUUCAGACCAAUGGAUAGAAAUUAAAGAGAACAGCUAUAUCAAUCUCACGGCUAAUUUACAAUGGACGCCUGGUUGUGAGAGGAACAGCAAAGACAGAAUACAAUUGAAGAUCACGUAUCCAGAAGGUUCGUUUUCUAUAGACGUCUGUAAGUUAAUAUUAACAACAAACUGCGAUGAAUCCGAUACAUCGAAUGCUACAUCCGUGUGUCGGUGCUUAAACAAAAUUCUGUCCAGUUUUACAAAAAAUUCAGCAGAUUUGACAGCAGGAACUAUACCUGGACGUGGGUUAACCUCAGAAACACUUCAACUGAAAAACGGAAGGAAAUUUUCAUAUCUGUCAUAACCAUGUCCUCGGAGGAGCGCUCUAGCAUUCCAUGGAUAACUGCAUCCACAUGUGCCUUCGUCGGUGUCGUUGUUGUAGUUGCUGUUGGCUUCAUCUUAUGGAAGCGAAAGAUUGUAUUCUGUUGCCAGGAAUACUCUUCGAGUCCACCUGGUGUUGAUACUGAGUGUCGAGACAAUAAUGAGGAAACGAGACAGGUAGAUGGCUCGGUCUAUACUGACAUCAAAGACGUCCAAGAUGAUGACAUGAGUCAUCCACAUGACCCCAGCUACGUGUACAUCAAAGAAGAGAUGAACCACCCAGGUCAGAGAAAAUAUGCUUACAUCAGAAAACAAGACAAAAGUCGAGCACAUAACUCCACCUACCUACACCCCGUACAGGAGGGAAUAAUCCAGCAAGAAGACCUCACCUACGAUCACCUGCGUGCUCUUAGAUAAAUGGAUUACUUCUGUAUGCGACAGUAGCACCGGUGUGUAAUUUUUAAAUUUCUUUGUAAUCAUCUCUUUUGUCUUUAAUUGUAAUUCUCUUUCUGUUAUGACCAUCUGUGUUGUCUGCACAGUGUAACAUUCUUCUCGCUAAACCGAACGCAUGUUGUCACAAGAGACAGUCUCUUAUAGAUAUAUGGUGUGCAUGUAAAAUCAGACAUUGUCAUUUAGAUUAUUUUAGUUUAGUCAUUUGAGAAUGUGAUUCGUUUGAAUGCUCUUUAGAAAACUACGGCAGCAGGAAACAUUUAAAUAAGUAGUACUACAUUUGUGACUUCUUAAGUUCGCAAACCUGUUUCCUGGAGAGAAUUGUUCGUAACAAAUCUGAGUGAUAUCACGAUACCAUUUAGACGAUAUUAUAAGACUAAUGACAACUUGUACAUGUAAGUUAAAUUACUUUUAUUGUAAUUCUAUUAAAGAUUUACAAAAACUAUACAUCGACAUUUAUUUCUACACAUUGGUAUUCUACAACACAUUUAAAAUACAUUUACAAAACGAGGAACAUAGAAAUAACACUUUCCAUUCAUUCAUUCAUGUGUACAUGAUCUCAUUCAUUCUACUCUUGUAUGUCCAGCAAAAGCAAAAAUAUGUUAGUUAAGCAAACAAAGGCGAAUGAGAAAUUAGUAGAUAGGGAAGUAAAAAAAGGAUAAAAGAAUAAAGACAAUGGGGAGAUGAUACUAGAAAUCUAUUAUAUAUACAAACCCGUGUAAACAAUGUACCUCUCGCCAAACCUUUUUGUAGUGACAAUAAAGAUUUUAUUUCUUUUACAUGAAACUUCUGCUUAUUUGCUAUGUUAAACAGGAAAUCAAUGCAUAUUUUUUUUUUGUGAUCCAAGUCAUUCUUCCUCUUCUUUCCAAAAAGUUGGGAAUUGAUGUUUAAGCUCAGCUAAGGUUGCAACAGGCGCAACUAUGUUUUUUUUUUAAAUUUUAACAAUGACUACUCACAAUGUUCAAUUGCCUUCCCCAAAAACUAAUAAGACAACCAAAAUGUUAUAUGUAGAAAUAUAUAGCAUGACACAUAUUACUCAUUACAACAGAGCUGAGUAUUUUGGUUGUUUCAAAGUUGCAAGUAAAGUUUUGACUAAUUAACAAUUACAUUUUUAACACAAUUAUCGGAAAUAAUUCUUUUGUCGUCGAUACAUCUCAACUCUAACAAGAAGACAGUUGUACAAAGUGACAAAAAGGUCCUUGCUAGAUAAGGACAAAGUGAUCAUUUUCAUAAUAUGUUGAUGCCAAACAUAUCAAACGUCCUUUAACUUGUAUAUUGACGAGAGAGCUAUUUAUAGUUCACAUACAAAUAAUUAUUUAUUUAAAAUUAAGAUAAAUUAUUUUCAUGCCUAUCUUAAAGACAGCAAAAAAAAAAAAAAAAA